AAGGCCACUAUCUACAGAUCUAAGAUCACGUGUUGGAACAUAGACAAGCACUCUGUGAGAAAUGUCUUCACACACAGUACACAGGUAACUCAACACCUGGGAAGUGGGAGGUCUCACUCUGUACAAGUAAAACUUUUGAGAAGUGUGUUGUUUUUUUCUUCUCAAAACACGUUCAGGCUUGCUGCUCCUCUGCUCUGUGCUCUGGCUGUUCUGCCUUGCCAUUCCAUCCAGGCUGUAUCAUGACAACAGAGAAAAUACUGUCAGCGUGUAACACGGCUAACAGUCGAAGCAGCUUCGACUCAGGACGUCCAUACAUGUCUGCUGAACAAAUAAGACAUCUUAAUGAUCUUCAUGACAGAAACCAGUUCAUAAGUGUUCGAGUUCAACAUCCAUCCAAACAUCAACGAACCAUCAUCAACGAGUUCUUUGAGAAAUAUAAAGUGAGCACAGCAGGAGGAACAACUUUUGUGCCUGCACCUGGAGCAGUGCCAAAAGAAGAUUAAAACACAAGCAAAGAGGAACAGACAUACAGGACACUUUCUUCUGUUUUCCUUUGGCCAUUUUUCACAAUUUUCUCGCCAAUUUAGCCGUGUCCAAUUCCACCCGUGUCACCCAGUCACAACACUACCAGAGCUGGGAGGAUGAAGGCCAGCACAUGCUUAUUCUAAGUCAUGUGAAGUGCCACUGCAUCCUUUCGAACAGCCACUGAUACAACAUCACUGGACAGUUCAACAAGCCAGGAGGACAAAGCUAACUGCUAAUUCUGCCAUGUUAACUAACAGGUGCCCACAAGGGUUGGCAGGGAUGAUGAGAGGGGGGGCCGUCCCACACACUCAUCCCAGCCACAAAAGGCUGUGGCAUCACUGGGGAUCAAGCUUGCAGUCUCCGUUCAGUUCAUUAAUAAGCUGGUGAGUUGUGAUCUUUAUCCACGGAACCGAUAUGAAAGGUCACUGUGUCAUAAAUAUUUGUUUCACAUUGUGCAGGAGGAGAAAAAAUGGAAAAUAAGCCCCUCUGAAGAUCAGUAUUCAUUUAUUUUAAAGCUGAAUCACAUCUGUGCAGCAGUUUAGCAUGUACAGUAUAGCAUCUUACCUUGGAGGGCUUCUUCUUCCAUGCCUCAGCCUUGAGAGCUUAAUAAUUCAUAAUGGGUUAUGAUAUUUAAUGAACUACAUUUUACUGAUAUGUGAUUUCUUCCCUAUAAAAGCUACUGUAAAUAUGUACUAUCUAUACUAUAUAGAAUAUUGCAUGUGCUAAAGUAUAGUAUAGUAUAGUAUAGUAUAGCAGUUUUUUGACCAAAUGUUAUUUUUUUAUUUGUAUACUUCAAUUUGUGAAAAAGUCCAAAUCACAGUGUGAAUAAAAAAAAGAUAGAUAUGAUGUUUAUAGUGCCAUAAAAUAAAGCCAACAGAAAUCUAAUAAUUUCUCCCAGAGGUGGAUGAAGUACACAAAUCCUGUACUUGAGUUAAAGUAGAGACCCCCCAAGGUAAAAUAUCACUCCAGUAAAAGUAG